rnacentral:rRNA from 1 species
CUGACGAGUCCUUUACUGACGCUAAAGCUCGAAGGUGCGGGUAUCGAACAGGAUUAGAUACCCUGGUAGUCCGCACGGUAAACGAUGGAUGCCCGCUGUUGGCGAUACAAUGUCAGCGGCCAAGCGAAAGCGUUAAGCAUCCCACCUGGGGAGUACGCCGGCAACGGUGAAACUCAAAGGAAUUGACGGGGGCCCGCACAAGCGGAGGAACAUGUGGUUUAAUUCGAUGAUACGCGAGGAACCUUACCCGGGCUUGAACUGCAGCAGAACGAUCCAGAGAUGGUGAGGCCCUUCGGGGCUGCUGUGGAGGUGCUGCAUGGUUGUCGUCAGCUCGUGCCGUGAGGUGUCGGCUUAAGUGCCAUAACGAGCGCAACCCCUUUCGCCAGUUGCCAUCAGGUGAUGCUGGGCACUCCGGCGACACUGCCACCGCAAGGUGCGAGGAAGGUGGGGAUGACGUCAAAUCAGCACGGCCCUUACGUCCGGGGCUACACACGUGUUACAAUGGGUGGUACAGAGAGUCGGCCGUCCGCAAGGCCGGUCCAAUCAAGAAAGCCAUCCUCAGUUCGGAUUGGGGUCUGCAACCCGACCCCAUGAAGCUGGA